AGAUACUGGCGCAAGACGAAAAAUCAAAUGAGGGGAAAAAGAAAUAAAAAUACUUGGGUUUCGUAUGAAUUCGACGAACCGCUAUUUAUUUUUAUAUUGUGCCGCUCUUAUUUUAUUUUUAUUUUACUUUUUUCCCCUCUACUACUUUUGUUUUUCCGAUUUU
rnacentral:ribozyme from 1 species